ACGCCGCCAGUCGCCCAAAUCUUCCAGCGAGACCUCCUCAGCAAGGUGCCUGUCUGCCUGGCCGCUGCAGUCCAACGCGGCAACUUUUCCCCCCAAAGACACCCGCCCUCUUUCCGGGUCUUCCACCAAACCUUCCUCCCCGGCCACACCAGCUAAUUCUCCACGGCCAUGGCGACCAGCGCGAAGCGGAAGCAAGAGGAGACUCAUCUGAAGAUGCUCCGGGAAAUGACUAGCCUUCCCGCGAAUAGGAAAUGCUUCGAUUGCGACCAGCGCGGCCCGACUUAUGUCAACAUGACAGUGGGCUCCUUCGUGUGCACUACCUGCUCAGGCAUCUUGCGAGGGCUGAACCCCCCACACAGAGUGAAGUCUAUCUCCAUGACCACGUUCACACAGCAAGAAAUGGACUUCCUACAGAAACACAGCAACGAGGUCUGUAAACACAUCUGGUUGGGUCUCUACGAUGACAGGACAUCAGUUGUUCCAGAUUUCCGGGAGCCGCAGAAAGUAAAAGAGUUCCUCCAAGAAAAAUAUGAAAAGAAAAGAUGGUAUGUGCCUCCAGACCAGGCAAGGGCAGUAGCAAGCGUCCAGGCCUCGGUGUCUGGCUCUUCCGCCAGCAGCACUGGUAGUACCCCAGAAGUGCAGCCUUUAAAGACCUUGCAGCUCAACAAGACCCCACUUCGUCAGUCCCCUGGUUUAGGUCGCUCUCAGGCUCACAUCACAGCUCAGGAGAAGAAGUUCGACCUGCUGUCAGACCUGGGGGGUGACAUCUUUGCUGCCCCGCCCACACAGGCCGCCACCUCCACCAACUUUGCCAACUUUGCACAUUUUCAAAGCCAGUCAGCACCUCAGGCUAAUUCAGACUACAACUUUGCCAACUUUGAUGCAUUUGGGAACACUGCAAUUCCAUCCCAUCUGAGCACGUCCCCCCCCUCAAAGUCCUUUUCCACAGGAAGAGGUGUGCCAAUCCCGUCAAUGUCGAGUGCUGUCCCUACCCAGUCCCAAACUGGGAGCUGCUCAGAAGAUCGUUACGCUGCUCUGGCUGAGUUGGACAACAAGCUGAGCUCCUCUGCAGGCAGCAAUGUGCAAGGGAAUUUAUUUGGUCCCGUGCUCGGCUCCUCGCCAGCCCAGAAUCCACCUGUUCUACCCAGCAUGCAGCCUGGCUAUGGAGGUGUCCCUUCCACGAAUCCCUUUGUUGUUGUGGCGGUUGCCUCGGAGAUGGCGACCAACCCUUUCCAAGCCAAUGGCAGAGCUCCAGCUGCAGCCUCAUUUGGUACUGGCUCUAUGAGCAUGCCCGCUGGCUUUGGGAAUGCGUCUUCAUACUGCCUUCCGACCAGUUUCAGUGGAAACUUCCAGCAGCAAUUCCCUGGCCAGGCCCCCAUCCCUUACUCUCAACCCGGGGCCUACCACCCUCAGUCCAAUGGAAGUUACAGCUGUGCUCGGUUGAGCGUGGCAAAGGUGGUCCACAUUGGUCUGACUACGGCCCUGCAUUCCCAGCCUAUGGUCCAAACAAGCCCUCCAUGACGCCUUUUGGUCAACCAAUGGCUGGUCCUGGCAUGUCCAAUAACCCCUUCAUGGCGGGAACCCCUACCGGGCCGUUCACUUCGGGGGGUUCCACAACCAACCCAUUCCUGUAGCACAACUCCCAGUCCUCACCAGCAGAGGGCAGCAUGCAGCACAUAGUCAACGCACCGUUCCGUCACGCUAUUAGUGGCAGUACAUUUCUUACAAAAAACGUUUACACUAUUAAGAAGUGCAAAGGACUAUAUUCAAGGGACUGUUAGCGGGGAAAAUGUACUGUUUGGACUAUAUUCAUGAUAUGCUUUUUAUUCUUUGUUUAUGACUGCGUGCAUAUCAUUUGUAAUCACAUUUACGUAUGUGUUAUGUAUAACAGGUGAGUAGACACCGUGUGGAGAAACCACUACAUGCUAUUGUAAGUAAAGGUUUACACUUUAUGAUCUACAGGGUUCUCUAUAAACAUCCAUUGUCUGGGGUAUGGCCCACCCAUGGAGAUGCAGGUAUUUCAUUUCAAAAAAGGGAUUGUUUUAUUGUUCUUUUAGCAUAAAUGCUACUAUACUGGCACUUGGGCCCAAAUUGUCCAUGAGUAACCUUUACAGGCAGUUAAAGUUGCCUCAAACCAAACGUGUACUGUAUUUCAUAUGCAGUUGCAAGCUGGAAACUAAGGUUAGAGCUUUUGAGUAAAUGGAUGUGUGCCAUAGAGCACAGAUGCAGUAAAGCCGCAUGAUGAUUUGGAUGAACUGUGCAACAAAUAUCAUCCAAAUAUGCUCCCUUGUUGUUGAGGGCUGUCAGAUGAGCCGGUCUCAAAUGUUCACAAUGAACAGCGUUAACAUAAGAUUCAGUAUUGCUUCAAGCGCUGAAUAUGCUCUGUCUAAUCGAGGCCUCUUGACUCUGGACGUGGAUUAGGGUCCCCAUUUGUGCCGCUAGUGACUAACAAUGAACUUUGUGUGUUUCUUGUCUUUGCAAGAAUAGCUAAGUCAAUGUGUACAUAUAUAAAUAUAUGUAUAAAUAAAUUAAAAGAUUUUUAAAUACUGCAUUUGUUUGUGGAA